AUUGAACGCUGGCGGCAGGCUUAACACAUGCAAGUCGAGCGGGUGAGGUUGCUUCGGUAACUGAGCUAGCGGCGGACGGGUGAGUAAAGCUUAGGAAUCUGCCUAUUAGUGGGGGACAACAUUCCGAAAGGGAUGCUAAUACCGCAUACGUCCUACGGGAGAAAGCAGGGGCUCUUUAUGACCUUGCGCUAAUAGAUGAGCCUAAGUCGGAUUAGCUAGUUGGUGGGGUAAAGGCCUACCAAGGCGACGAUCUGUAGCGGGUCUGAGAGGAUGAUCCGCCAUACUGGGACUGAGACACGGCCCAGACUCCUACGGGAGGCAGCAGUGGGGAAUAUUGGACAAUGGGGGGAACCCUGAUCCAGCCAUGCCGCGUGUGUGAAGAAGGCCUUUUGGUUGUAAAGCACUUUAAGUGGGGAGGAGGCUUACCUGGUUAAUACCUGGGCUAAGUGGACGUUACCCACAGAAUAAGCACCGGCUAACUCUGUGCCAGCCGCCGCCGUAA
rnacentral:rRNA from 1 species